rfam:Schistosoma margrebowiei strain Zambia genome assembly, scaffold: SMRZ_scaffold0000323
GUCCAGCUGAGGAGUUCCAAACAGGACGAAAUGCACGUUCUGGAU